CAUACUUUUUUUUAAUUUUUUUUGUUUUUUUUAAAUUAAUUCCACAUGCAUUUACGCUUACUUUUUUGCAGAGGGGUGUGGGUGUGGGGGCUUCUAACAUUUUGCUAUUAUUUUUUCCCCAUUUCUGUUCAUUCCUCAUCAUAGGGUUUCUCAGCCUCUGAAGGGCGAAUGUAACCACCACAAGUUCUCCCACUGCUGCCUCUUGUGAAUACCUGCAACGCAAACAAAGCUCAGACAUUAUGGGGACAACUCAGGUUUUGCCUGGCAUUCUGCAGAAACAUUGCUGUAUUUUACCAGACAGGAAUACAGGACUAGUUUAAUUUGGAUUCUCGGAGACAUAGGAUCAAGGUCUAGUUGGAAUCAAGAUCUACCCACAAGAGAGAUAUGUUAUUGUAUCGAGAAGAUGGAUAGAAUAUGUUCAGAAG